rnacentral:rRNA from 1 species
CCUACGGGUGGCAGCAGUGGGGAAUAUUGCACAAUGGGGGAAACCCUGAUGCAGCGACGCCGCGUGAGUGAAGAAGUAACUCCUUAUUUAAAGCUCUAUCAGCAGGGAAGAAAAUGACGGUACCUGAGUGAGAAGCCCCGGCUAACUACGUGCCAGCAUCCGCUGUAAUACGUAGGGGGCAAGCGGUAUCCGGAUUUACUGGGUGUAAAGCGAGCGUAGACGGGAGUGCAAGUCUGGAGGGAAAGGCGGGGGCUCAACCCCCGGACUGCUGUGGAAACUGUACGGCUGGAGUGCAGGAGAGGUAAGUGGAAUGCCUAGUGUAGCGGUGAAAUGCGUAGAUAUCAGGAGGAACACCAGUGGCGAAGGCGGCUUACUGGACUGUAACUGACGUUGAGGCACGAAAGCAUGGGGAGCAAACAGGAUUAGAUACCCGUGUAGUC